rnacentral:rRNA from 1 species
GUGGGGAAUAUUGGACAAUGGGGGGAACCCUGAUCCAGCCAUGCCGCGUGUGUGAAGAAGGCCUUUUGGUUGUAAAGCACUUUAAGCGAGGAGGAGGCUACCGAGAUUAAUACUCUUGGAUAGUGGACGUUACUCGCAGAAUAAGCACCGGCUAACUCUGUGCCAGCAGCCGCGGUAAUACAGAGGGUGCGAGCGUUAAUCGGAUUUACUGGGCGUAAAGCGUGCGUAGGCGGCUUUUUAAGUCGGAUGUGAAAUCCCCGAGCUUAACUUGGGAAUUGCAUUCGAUACUGGGAAGCUAGAGUAUGGGAGAGGAUGGUAGAAUUCCAGGUGUAGCGGUGAAAUGCGUAGAGAUCUGGAGGAAUACCGAUGGCGAAGGCAGCCAUCUGGCCUAAUACUGACGCUGAGGUACGAAAGCAUGGGGAGCAAACAGGAUUAGAUACACGUGUAGUCC